CCCCUACCCAUCCCAAAAGGUUUAAAUAGCCUUUGUUCCACCUGCCACUCCCCCAAUCCCGAAGGUGGAUCCUGAGAAGCAGAAAUGCCUGUGGAAUGGAGAGCUCUGGCCAGGCAUCAAGUGAGCACAGAUGAGAACAGACUUAGUGGAAGACACCAAAGGACAAUUUCACCAGUGUUAACGAGGCCAAGAUGACGUUAUUCAAGGCUACCCCAACAACAGCAGAGAGACUAAAGUGAGUCUGACCUCCGCUCUGCAGGUGGGGCGGGCUAGAGGAGAGGUUCUGG
rnacentral:lncRNA from 1 species